GCACUGUCUUUGAACCUUUUUGGUCUCACUGUGACCUCUCAGGCCAAGCUACAGUGCUAAAACAAAUUUGAUCUUGUUCAUAACUGGAGCCUCCUGGCUACACCUCCGGGUGGCUCUUUUAAAAGCAAGAGACAACG